ACGAACGCUGGCGGCAUGCCUAACACCUGCAAGUCGAGCGAGACCUUCGGGUCUAGUGGCGCACGGGUGCGUAACGCGUGGGAACCUGCCCUUAGGUUCGGAAUAACUCCCCGAAAGGGGUGCUAAUACCGGAUAAUGUCUUCGGACCAAGGAUUUAUCGCCUUUGGAUGGGCCCGCGUUGGAUUAGCUAGUUGGUAGGGUAAAAGCCUACCAAGGCGACGAUCCAUAGCUGGUCUGAGAGGAUGAUCAGCCACACUGGGACUGAGACACGGCCCAGACUCCUACGGGAGGCAGCAGUGGGGAAUAUUGGACAAUGGGCGAAAGCCUGAUCCAGCAAUGCCGCGUGAGUGAUGAAGGCCUUAGGGUUGUAAAGCUCUUUUACCCGGGAUGAUAAUGACAGUACCGGGAGAAUAAGCUCCGGCUAACUCCGUG
rnacentral:rRNA from 1 species